rnacentral:tRNA from 1 species
GUGCCCGUAGCUCAAUUGGAUAGAGCAUCUGACUACGGAUCAGAAGGUUAGGGGUUCGAGUCCCUUCAGGCACG